AGUUUUCCCUUUUGCAUACAGGGGCUAAUUUGUGCUCAAGGACAUCUGCUAUGAACUGGGGGCUAGCUUUUUUCAUUCUUCUUUUUGGGUUACUUGAGGAGGAUUGUGGAUCCGUCAAAUGAAGGCCCUUUUCUUUAGUCUGAUUAUUAUCAGAAAGAAGAAGCAAAUUUGAAGGGGAUGAGUAGUGAUGGAUCAUUGUAAAAAGCGAGCAAAGCAGCACAAUCUGAGACUCGAAGCCUGUCUUGUCUGCUUUGUUGUGGGAUGUGGUGGAGGAUCAAGAGCAGAGAUUAAGAUACAGAGGGCUGAAUAACACAGUUUCUGUUGAGCUAAAACUUUGUCGAGCCCUCACAUGUCUACUGUGAGAGUUUUAUGUUUUAAGAGUAUUUAUGUUUAUGACUUAUUGGACACUUAUAUGUUGUACCUUCUGAUUUCCUUGUUUAGUGUAUCAUUGUGUAACAAUUAACUUUUUACCUUUUUGGAAGACAAUCUCUAUGCAGGUUAUGAAGCACCAAACGGAGGUACUCACCGCUUCUCAAGUUCAUCUUGGAGUUGUCAAGUACCGUCUAAAUUACUUGCUCUUUCCUCUCCACAAUUGUCUCUUUGUUAUGUAUUUCUCUUUGUGCGCGCACACAUGUGUAUUGUUGAACCAUAUGUAUGCUUUUACAAUAUAGUUGUAAAGUAAUUGGUCCAUGGUUUUAUGAUUUCUUUUAAUUUGAAGAGUGUUUCCUUGCGAUGUUCUGAAUCUGGCUUGGAAGAUUUAGCUUACUUUCGUCUACAAUUUUAAGAUGAUUGGUGAUACAUUACCCCAUAGUGUCCAAGCUGAAAACUGGCUAUCUAUUUCUGGAAAGGGAAUGUAGAGUUACCAUUGAACCUGAUGACGAUACUGACACAAGCUUUUCCUGCUUGCCUCAAGAAAAUGGAACAGGUAAUUUGCGCUUUUUGCCUGCAUCAUUCAUUUUUGAGGAUUCCACCAUAAUGCAAUUUGAUAAACAGAGUAAUUUCUACAUCCUGUAAUCGAUCAUUGUGUUUAUUGACCUAAAACUGUAUUUGUAUGUUGAACUUGCCGUACUUUUAAUCAAGCAGAACUCCUAGAAUCACCGACACCAUUAAAGAAUAUAUAAAAGGUAAGUUCUAUUUUUAUUGUUCAAAAUACUUGGUUAGCCUAACUUUAGCCUACAAAGCUUGAUUUUCAUGUGAAUUCUUCUGGCAAUUUCUGUAAUAACCUCUAAUGUAGUCAGAUCUUUAUCUAUUCUUUGUUCAGUACAACUAUCUUAAUAUGAUUCU